GGAGAAUAGCGAGCUGGGCAUUUAUCGACAAGUGCUUGAAAACUCAGAAAACAAAGUAACAGAAAAGUCAAGUGCUGUAAAGAUCCGAAAUGUAGUUAAUUCCGUUGAAAGUCAGUAUUCCACCCCUUCAGCUUUGAGCAGGCAGCAGUAGCAAGCGAGAUAAGUCCAAAUAAUUGCAUAACGCGAAAAGAAAUUGCAAUUCGGGCCUUGCACUGCUGCUGCUGACAACUACUAGCGCGAGGGAACUUUACGAAAAGUGCGAACAGACCGAUGGAUAAAGUAAAGGAGGGCGGGAGGAGGGGGGAGCAAUUAAAAAUUCAUCGCGACGAGGAAGAGAAGAAAAUCAAUCCGGGACCGAAAGAACUUGCCACUGAAACAUCCAAUCCGAAAAAGAUUAUUCCUUUUGAUUGCUCUCUUCUCCCGUACAAGAAAAUCAACAGGCGAUGCUGUGACGCCGUUCUGUUGCGGAGGCGGUGGUGGUUCCUCAUCCUCGCUGACGUUACUGCUACUGCUCGCGUGGCCGUUGACGAGGCUGGCAUUACUGCCGUUAC